rnacentral:lncRNA from 1 species
GCAAAUCCAGAAAAUAAAUACCAGCUAUUGGGGUAUUUGUUAGGGUUUGGACCUGACACAUUGCCCUAAAAUCUCAGGUAGUAGGAAACACAGUCAUGUUCAGAAAUGAGAAGAUCACAUUAUGAGCUCUCCAACCUCAUUAUUGGAAUAAUGUACCUGAUGGAUUAAUCCAUUGGUAAUUGAACAGACUGUUGGUAACUGAGAUGAAAUAGACCACUGGGGGUCUGAUCUUUGGGAUUUCAUCUUGUUCCCAGAUCCUUGACUGUUCUCUUUCUGAUUCCCAGCUCCCAAUACAUAAGCACCUUUUCUCCACCAUUCCCUUCCGCCAUUUUGUUUUUCAACGAAACCAGCCAUCCAUGGACUGAGACCACUGAAACUGGAGCCAAAAUGAACAGUUCCUCUCUAAAUUUAUUUUGGUCACUAUGUUGAAACACUGCCUAACACAGUAUCUCCGAAGUCCAUCAAGUUCACACAAAAGAUGAAUCCUCACAAGGCUGAAGAAACCUUGUGACAUUAUUGGACAGCAUUGCAAUGACAACAGGACUCUUCUAUAUCCCUGCGUUCUUGAAAGUCCUGUGCUAUUUCUUGGUGACAUGUUGAAUUCUAUCUCACUUGACUGCAGGUUUAUCCUCAUCCUUUUCGGUGUAUUAAAUCAUGAAGGAAAUUCUCUUCCGUUUUCAAUAUAGCCACAACUGUCAAGAUACAGCAGAAAUUUUUUAAAAAUUAUUUUUUACAAAUAAGCUAUUUGUAAUGGAG